rnacentral:rRNA from 1 species
UGGGGAAUAUUGCACAAUGGGGGAAACCCUGAUGCAGCGACGCCGCGUGAACGAAGAAGGUAUUCGUAUCGUAAAGUUCUGUCCUAUGGGAAGAUAUUGACAGUACCAUAGAAGAAAGCUCCGGCUAAAUACGUGCCAGCAGCCGCGGUAAUACGUAUGGAGCGAGCGUUGUCCGGAAUUAUUGGGCGUAAAGGGUACGCAGGCGGUUUAAUAAGUCGAAUGUUAAAGAUCGGGGCUCAACCCCGCAAAGCAUUGGAAACUGAUAAACUUGAGUAGUGGAGAGGAAAGUGGAAUUCCUAGUGUAGUGGUGAAAUACGUAGAUAUUAGGAGGAAUACCAGUAGCGAAGGCGACUUUCUGGACACAAACUGACGCUGAGGUACGAAAGCGUGGGGAGCAAACAGG